rnacentral:rRNA from 1 species
UACGUAGGGCGCAAGCGUUGUCCGGAAUUAUUGGGCGUAAAGAGCUCGUAGUCGGUUUGUCGCGUCUGGUGUGAAAACUCGAGGCUCAACCUCGAGCUUGCAUCGGGUACGGGCAGACUAGAGUGCGGUAGGGGAGACUGGAAUUCCUGGUGUAGCGGUGGAAUGCGCAGAUAUCAGGAGGAACACCGAUGGCGAAGGCAGGUCUCUGGGCCGCAACUGACGCUGAGGAGCGAAAGCAUGGGGAGCGAACAGG